rnacentral:rRNA from 1 species
AACGCGAAGAACCUUACCCAGGCUCGAAAUGUAAAGGACGGUAUCAGAGAUGAUACUUUCCGCAAGGACUUUUAUAUAGGUGCUGCAUGGCUGUCGUCAGCUCGUGCCGUGAGGUGUUGGGUUAAGUCCCGCAACGAGCGCAACCCUUAUCAUUAGUUGCCAACACGCGAGGUGGGGACUCUAAUGAGACUGCCUGGGUUAACCAGGAGGAAGGUGAGGAUGAUGUCAAGUCCGCAUGGCCUUUAUGUCUGGGGCUACACACGUGCUACAAUGGUCGGUACAGAAGGCAGCAAGACCGCAAGGUGGAGCAAAUCCGAAAAGCCGAUCACAGUUCAGAUUGUAGUCUGCAACUCGACUACAUGAAGUUGGAAUUGCUAGUAAUGACGUGUCAGCAACAACGUCGUGAAUACGUUCCCGGGCCUUGUA